GGGGGGCAAGCAUAGCUGGUGCGUGCCUUGGGCUUCAAACCCAUAGAGCGUUCAGGUGUCUGGAUGUUGGGAGGUUCGAUUCCUCCGCCCUCUC
rnacentral:tRNA from 1 species